rnacentral:rRNA from 1 species
GAUGAACGCUGGCGGCGUGCUUAACACAUGCAAGUCGAACGGUGAACACGGAGCUUGCUCUGUGGGAUCAGUGGCGAACGGGUGAGUAACACGUGAGCAACCUGCCCCUGACUCUGGGAUAAGCGCUGGAAACGGCGUCUAAUACUGGAUAUGUGACGUGACCGCAUGGUCUGCGUUUGGAAAGAUUGUUCGGUUGGGGAUGGGCUCGCGGCCUAUCAGCUUGUUGGUGGGGUAAUGGCUCACCAAGGCGUCGACGGGUAGCCGGCCUGAGAGGGUGACCGGCCACAAUGGGACUGAGACACGGCCCAGACUCCUACGGGAGGCAGCAGUGGGGAAUAUUGCACAAUGGGCGCAAGCCUGAUGCAGCAACGCCGCGUGAGGGAUGACGGCCUUCGGGUUGUAAACCUCUUUUAGCAGGGAAGAAGCGAAAGUGACGGUACCUGCAGAAAAAGCGCCGGCUAACUACGUG